GUGAUUCGUCACUGGAAAGUCACCAUCUUUGCUCCAAAGGAUCCUCUCCCACUGUGAUAAGAUUUCAAAUUCCUUUCAUUUUCCUAUAUGCUUUAUCUCGUUUUCACUCCAACCAAACAGAGUUUUGUUCUCCACUUUUGCAAUUACAGAAAAGAAAUGCAGUCUUUCUGUGGGAGUUUAAUUCGGAGGCAAAGCUCGCGUAUUGCUCAUUUCAAAUCCACUGAAGCUUCUUUAGCUAUCAAUAGCAGUAACAUUCAUGGACUAAAUUCUCUAAGGUCUGAUUCAUCGAUUCUAGAUGGAAUUAUUGCUUCGAAGAAUCAUCUUUUCAGGUCAUUUCAUCAGCUCGCUUCUCGCUCCAGUGAAAUCAGUACAGGAUCCACAAACGGGACAGAUUCUUGGGGAGGGUCGCAGAAUGGGUCGAUUAUUUGAGCUUGCAUCUUUACAUCUUCCUCAGAGAUUUGUGUUUGCAGCUACAAUCCCUAAUUCCUCCAUUCACCAAUGGCAUCUUCGUCUUGGUCAUGCUUCUGCCAGUAAAAUUCAACCUUUAAUUUCUCGUGGAUUAUUAGGAUCUACUAAGUUUGAGUCAUUUAAUUGUUUAAAUUGUCAGCUUGCAAAACAACCUGCAUUAUCUUUUUCUCAUAAUAAUACUACUUCAGACACUCCUUUUGGUUUAAUUCAUUCUGACAUUUGGGGUCCUUCUCCUAUUUCUUCAAUAAAUGGUUUUCGUUAUUUUGUGAUAUUUAUUGAUGAUUAUUCUCGGUUUACUUGGAUAUAUUUUUUGAAACAUCGAUCUGAGUUAUCACAAAUUUACAUCACAUUUGCAAAAAUGAUUAAAACUCAGUUCUCUUGUGACAUUAAAAUUCUCCGAACAGACAAUGCCAUGGAAUAUCGGGAUUCUUCUUUACUUCAGUUUCUUAGUCAACAAGGCACCGUUGUUCAACGUUCUUGUCCUCACACCUCUCAACAGAAUGGGCGAGCCGAACGCAAGCAUCGCCAUAUUCUUGAUUCUGUACGUACUCUUCUUCUUUCUGCCUCAUGUCCAGAAAAAUUUUGGGGAGAAGCAGCUCUUCAUGCUGUUUAUAUUAUUAACCGUCUUCCUACCUUGGUUCUUCAUAAUUUAUCUCCUUUUGAAAAGUUGUUUGGACAACCUCCUGACUAUUCCAUCCUUAAACCUUUUGGAUGUGUUUCUUUUGUUCUUUUACAACCUCAUGAACAUACCAAAUUAGAACUCCGUGCUCAUCUAUGUUGUUUUCUUGGUUAUGGCAUUGAACACAAAGGGUAUCGUUGUUGGGAUCUUGUUUCUAAUAAGUUACGCAUCUCUCGUCAUGUUACCUUUUGGAACAAUACUAUGUUCUCUUCUCUUUCCAAAUUUCAUCACUCUGUCAAUACUGACUCUCUAUUUUUCACUUACUCCUCCAAAGAGCUAUUUCCAAGUCCUGAUCCAGGUGAUUGUGAUGUGCUCAAUCUUAGCCCAACUGCACCUGCCCCUGUUGAAUCUGUACCAGUUAUUGAUCCAGUACCUGCGCCUGCAUAUGCUCCUAGCACUACUCUUCGUAGA
rnacentral:misc_RNA from 1 species